GCUCACUGUUCCAUCCCUUGUAGAGUUUCCUACUGGGUCUCCACUGGGUCACCCACUGGAGCAAGCCUCAUUCAACCAGAACAGGCUGCCUUUCAUGGCCCCACAGAUCUGCCAUAAGCACAACAUUUAACGUGAAGAGAAAAAGCUCUGCAGAGAGAGCCACGUACGUGUCACUGAGGCGUAAGGAGAAUGUGACAAGAACUUUGUUCUUUUACUAAUUCUGACCUCAGAAUCAAAUCAGCUGCCCUCGUGAAUCGUAUCUCUCCAACUGCAUCUUGGCAAGGUAAGGGAAUUUGGCUGCAAUGAAGAGUGAAGGAUUUUUGCAUCUUCCAACUUCAGAAUAGCAAAGAGAGCGCGGAGGCAGAUGGAUGAGAUGAAGAAAUGGCACCCAACUCUGGAUUUGAACAUCUCUUAGACAAGAGGUGGGGGGAAAUAACAAGCCGAGAUAGAAAAGCCAUUUAGUUCUCAUGGCUCUGUUCCAGGACUCUUUAAUUUGCCAGUAGCUGUUUUUCCUGCACAGAUUACAGGAGUAAUUCAUCAGCGAAUGUUUCACUCGGCGGUCUCAUCUAAUGUAAGGAAACAUAAAAAUGAAUUUUUCCAAUUAUGCCCUUUGUUUGUUUAGAAAGAGUGUACUGCGUAU
rnacentral:lncRNA from 1 species